UACGUAGGGUGCAAGCGUUGUCCGGAAUUAUUGGGCGUAAAGAGCUCGUAGGCGGUUUGUCGCGUCUGCUGUGAAAACUCGGGGCUUAACCCCGAGCCUGCAGUGGAUACGGGCAGACUAGAGGUAGGUAGGGGAGAAUGGAAUUCCCGGUGUAGCGGUGAAAUGCGCAGAUAUCGGGAGGAACACCAGUGGCGAAGGCGACUACCUGGCCUGUUCUUGACGCUGAGGCGCGAAAGCUAGGGGAGCAAACGGG
rnacentral:rRNA from 1 species